UGCCCUUAAAGGGGCCGCAGCCGCCCUCAGGGACACCGCGGGGACACCGCGGGGACACCUGUGAGGGACGGAGCCUCCUCUUCCCCCUGAACCUGCCCCUCGUGAUCCAGGGAAUCCUCAGGUUCCAAUAAAUCCGUCCCUUCCCGCUGGCCCAGGGUGGAACCCGCACGGCAGCGCCUGAGGGACGGCCCGGACCCCUCAGCCAGCCCGGGCCCGAGCAUCCCGCACCUGCCUGGGGCCACCUUCGUCUUUCACCCUAAACCUUCAUCUUCCCACGGGAGGCAGCGGCUCUGCGGCUCGGGGCAGGCCAGAACCGGCUCGUUCGGCACAGGUUGAUCCGGUUUGGCCCCCGGCUGAAGGUUCCAGAUCUAACGGGCCUGGAAGAGCUGGUUCUGCGCAGACGGGAUCCAAAACCGAACGCUUUUAUCCCAGGAGAAGGUAAAGCCGCUGGGUGUUCUCCAGGCUCCAGGGAGGUGCUGUGCCGUUUCCGCGGUGUUCCACACUCCUGAGGGAGUGGAGCUGGUGUCAGAACAUCGCUGGAGCUGCUCCUGUUCCAGUAGGAAUUCCGAGCUCGGAGUGCCACGAAGAUUCGGGCCCGGAAGAUUCACAGGCUCAGCACUGCUCAGUGCCAAACGCACCAAAACCUUUUUGCCUGAGGGAAAUCCACAUCUCGCCAAGGCCUCCGGAGCCCCGCGGCGGAGCGAGGGAAGCGUGGAGCCCGGAGCCAGCGCUCCCCGAGUGCCUCUGUGCGUCCGCAGCUCCUGUGCCUGCCCCGGCCCAGCUCUGCCCCCCACAACAAACAGCAAAAUACACUCAGCAGGUUUCUGUCAACUCCCAGAGUUUCGGAACCCUCCGCCCCAAGCGCUGCCGUGGGGAGGGAGGAAGGGGCUUGCAGCUCUUCCCCCGCCUCCGACAGCGCUCGUGGAAACCCUGUUUUAAAUUAAAAAAUAAGCCAGCAUACAUAGUAGAAAAUUUCUCUUAAAAAUUUCACAAUCUGUAAAUGUAUAUAUUUUUUUUUUUUCUUUUAAACAUAAAAGUUUACAAUAUACGGUAAAACAAAGGCUCAGGAAAAAUAAUUUCAAAAAAAAGAAACCUGAAGUUUUGAAUUAAAGCUGAAGACAUUUUUAAAACCCUGUAA